UACGGAGGGUGCAAGCGUUAUCCGGAUUUACUGGGUUUAAAGGGUGCGUAGGUGGGUAGGUAAGUCAGUGGUGAAAUCUUCAAGCUUAACUUGGAAACUGCCAUUGAUACUAUUUAUCUUGAAUACUUUGGAGGUAAGCGGAAUAUGUCAUGUAGCGGUGAAAUGCUUAGAUAUGACAUAGAACACCAAUUGCGAAGGCAGCUUACUACACAGUAAUUGACACUGAGGCACGAAAGCGUGGGGAUCAACAGG
rnacentral:rRNA from 1 species